AUUGAACGCUGGCGGCGUGCCUAACACAUGCAAGUCGAGCGGUAACAGGUGUAGCAAUACAUGCUGACGAGCGGCGAACGGGUGAGUAAUGCUUCGGAAUCUACCCAAUGGUGGGGAAUAACCAGCCGAAAGGUUGGCUAAUACCGCAUACGUCCCACGGGAGAAAGCAGGGGAUCGCAAGACCUUGCGCCAAUGGAUGAGCCGAAGUCGGAUUAGCUAGNGGUAGGGUAACGGCCUACCAAGGCGACGAUCCGUAGCUGGUCUGAGAGGACGACCAGCCACACUGGGACUGAGACACGGCCCAGACUCCUACGGGAGGCAGCAGUGGGGAAUAUUGGACAANGGGGGUUUUAAACCCNGAUCCAGCGACGCCGCGUGUGUGAAGAAGGCCUGCGGGUUGUAAAGCACUUUUAGUGGGAUGAAAUGUUCAGGGUUAACACCUCUGGUAUUUUGACCUAACCCACAGAAAAAGCACCGGCUAACUCUGUGCCA
rnacentral:rRNA from 1 species